rnacentral:rRNA from 1 species
UACGUAGGGUGCGAGCGUUGUCCGGAAUUACUGGGCGUAAAGCGCACGUAGGCGGAUUGUUAAGUCGGGGGUGAAAGCCUGUGGCUCAACCACAGAAUUGCCUUCGAUACUGUAGAGCUUGAGACCGGAAGAGGUAAGUGGAACUGCGAGUGUAGAGGUGAAAUUCGUAGAUAUUCGCAAGAACACCAGUGGCGAAGGCGGCUUACUGGUCCGGUUCUGACGCUGAGGCGCGAAAGCGUGGGGAGCAAACAGG